GCCUUCUCUCUGUGUGUCCUUGUGUUUCCCUGGGAACCAAGAAUUCUGUCUCUUCCAUUUAGAUUCCAGAGAGAAGACAUGGUUUUGGGAGGAAGACCACAGAGGUAAAGUGCCAUUUUCAUCACCUCAAAGGCGCAUUGUAUCCGUGUGACCGACCGCUGUGGUGGUGUCCUUGAUCACCUGACUGAGGUGGUGACUGUCAGCUUCCCCACAGUUUCCGCCUCUCUCCUGAAGUUCUCCCAUCUCUCCCCAGCAUACCCCGGUUUUCUGU